GCCAGUGUGGUAUAGCGGUUUGUGUGUUGGACUAUGACUCUGGAGACCAGAGUUUGAUUCCCAGCUCAGCCA